AUACACAUUUUAUAUGGGUAAAAAAAAAAUUUUACACCCAUCAGGAGUGGACAGAUUAAAAUAGAAUGGUGGAAGGAAAUCAAAGUACAAACUUUUUGGUACCCUCCAGUGUCAAGAAACUUAGCUAGCAUGACUAAGGUAGUCUCUACCCAGA